GACGAACGCUGGCGGCGUGCUUAACACAUGCAAGUCGAACGGAAAGGCCCUGCUUUUGUGGGGUGCUCGAGUGGCGAACGGGUGAGUAACACGUGAGUAACCUGCCCUUGACUUUGGGAUAACUUCAGGAAACUGGGGCUAAUACCGGAUAGGAGCUCCUGCUGCAUGGUGGGGGUUGGAAAGUUUCGGCGGUUGGGGAUGGACUCGCGGCUUAUCAGCUUGUUGGUGGGGUAGUGGCUUACCAAGGCUUUGACGGGUAGCCGGCCUGGGAGGGUGACCGGCAACAUUGGGACGGAGAUACGGCCCAGACUCCUACGGGGGGCAGCAGUGGGGAAUAUUGCACAAUGGGCGGAAGCCUGAUGCAGCAACGCCGCGUGCGGGAUGACGGCCUUCGGGUUGUAAACCGCUUUCGCCUGUGACGAAGCGUGAGUGACGGUAAUGGGUAAAGAAGCACCGGCUAACUACGUG
rnacentral:rRNA from 1 species